rnacentral:rRNA from 1 species
AGUAGACGCUGAAGUCUGGUGCUUGCACUAGACGGAUGAGUUGCGAACGGGUGAGUAACGCGUAGGUAACCUGCCUCAUAGCGGGGGAUAACUAUUGGAAACGAUAGCUAAUACCGCAUAACAGUAUUUACCGCAUGGUAGAUACUUGAAAGGAGCAAUUGCUUCACUAUGAGAUGGACCUGCGUUGUAUUAGCUAGUUGGUGAGGUAACGGCUCACCAAGGCAUCGAUACAUAGCCGACCUGAGAGGGUGAUCGGCCACACUGGGACUGAGACACGGCCCAGACUCCUACGGGAGGCAGCAGUAGGGAAUCUUCGGCAAUGGGGGCAACCCUGACCGAGCAACGCCGCGUGAGUGAAGAAGGUUUUCGGAUCGUAAAGCUCUGUUGUAAGAGAAGAACUGUGAGAAGAGUGGAAAGUUUCUCACUUGACGGUAUCUUACCAGAAAGGGACGGCUAACUACGUGCCAGCAGCCGCGGUAAUACGUAGGUCCCGAGCGUUGUCCGGAUUUAUUGGGCGUAAAGCGAGCGCAGGCGGUUUGAUAAGUCUGAAGUAAAAGGCUGUGGCUUAACCAUAGUACGCUUUGGAAACUGUCAAACUUGAGUGCAGAAGGGGAGAGUGGAAUUCCAUGUGUAGCGGUGAAAUGCGUAGAUAUAUGGAGGAACACCGGUGGCGAAAGCGGCUCUCUGGUCUGUAACUGACGCUGAGGCUCGAAAGCGUGGGGAGCGAACAGGAUUAGAUACCCUGGUAGUCCACGCCGUAAACGAUGAGUGCUAGGUGUUGGGUCCUU